rnacentral:rRNA from 1 species
GAACGGCAGCACGACUCGGUCUGGUGGCGAGUGGCGAACGGGUGAGUAAUAUAUCGGAACGUACCCUGGAGUGGGGAUAACGCAGCGAAAGUUGCGCUAAUACCGCAUACGAUCUACGGAUGAAAGUGGGGGCUCGCAAGACCUCAUGCUCGUGGAGCGGCCGAUAUCUGAUUAGCUAGUUGGUAGGGUAAAAGCCUACCAAGGCAUCGAUCAGUAGCUGGUCUGAGAGGACGACCAGCCACACUGGGACUGAGACACGGCCCAGACUCCUACGGGAGGCAGCAGUGGGGAAUUUUGGACAAUGGGGGCAACCCUGAUCCAGCAAUGCCGCGUGAGUGAAGAAGGCCUUCGGGUUGUAAAGCUCUUUUGUCAGGGAAGAAACGGUGAAGGCUAAUAUCCUUUGCUAAUGACGGUACCUGAAGAAUAAGCACCGGCUAACUACGUGCCAGCAGCCGCGGUAAUACGUAGGGUGCAAGCGUUAAUCGGAAUUACUGGGCGUAAAGCGUGCGCAGGCGGUUAUGUAAGUCAGAUGUGAAAUCCCCGGGCUUAACCUGGGAAUGGCAUUUGAGACUGCAUGGCUAGAGUGUGUCAGAGGGGGGUAGAAUUCCGCGUGUAGCAGUGAAAUGCGUAGAUAUGUGGAGGAAUACCGAUGGCGAAGGCAGCCCCCUGGGGUAACACUGACGGUCAUGCACGAAAGCGUGGGAGCAAACAGGAUUAGAUACCCUGGUAGUCCACGCCCUUAACGAUGUCUACUAGUUGUCGGGUCUUAAUUGACUUGGUAACGCAGCUAACGCGUGAAGUAGACCGCCUGGGGAGUACGGUCGCAAGAUUAAACUCAAAGGAAUUGACGGGGACCCGCACAAGCGGUGGAUGAUGUGGAUUAAUUCGAUGCAACGCGAAAAACCUUACCUACCCUUGACAUGUACGGAAGCCUUGAGAGAUCGAGGCGUGCUCGAAAGAGAGCCGUAACACAGGUGCUGCAUGGCUGUCGUCAGCUCGUGUCGUGAGAUGUUGGGUUAAGUCCCGCAACGAGCGCAACCCUUGUCAUUAGUUGCUACGAAAGGGCACUCUAAUGAGACUGCCGGUGACAAACCGGAGGAAGGUGGGGAUGACGUCAAGUCCUCAUGGCCCUUAUGGGUAGGGCUUCACACGUCAUACAAUGGUACAUACAGAGGGCCGCCAACCCGCGAGGGGGAGCUAAUCCCAGAAAGUGUAUCGUAGUCCGGAUUGUAGUCUGCAACUCGACUACAUGAAGU